UCGGUUCACAAAAACAGGUAAGAACUUUGGGUUUUUUUUUUUUCCACCAUUUGAUUUAUUUCACGGCAUAUUUUGAACAAAACGAGUUCAAUAAUUAGGGUUUUUAAUCUUUAUUGUGUCUAGUAUGAUUUAAAAUUUUCAAUUUUACGUAAUCUGAUCAAUUACAGCAAGAAAUUUGAUAUGAACAGUGAGAUGUCUGCGGAACCAAAUUCCGCUGUUUUUUUUUUUUUCCGCCUUUUGAUUUUGUUUUCAUGAUAUAUUUGAAAUAAUGUGUUAAAAAUUUAGGUUUUUGAUUCCUUAUAUUGUUGUUUAUCAGAAAAUAUAG
rnacentral:lncRNA from 1 species